ACUCAAAUGAAUUGACGGGGGCCCGCACAAGCGGUGGAGCGUGUGGUUUAAUUCGAUGCUAAGCGUAGAACCUUACCAGGGCUUGAAAUCUAGCUGCAUACCCUAAGAAACUAGGGUGGCCUUCGAGGGUGCUAGACAGGUGCUGCAUGGUUGCCGUCAGCUCGUGUUGUGAAAUGUUUCCUUCAGUGGAGUAACGAGCGCAACCCUCGUCGCGUGUUGCUUUUCACGCGAGACUGCCGUGGUCAACACGGAGGAAGGUGAGGAUGACGUCAAAUCAGCAUGGUCCUCUGACGCCCUGGGCGACACACGCGCUACAAUGGCUGGGACAACGAGCUUGCCAACCCGCGAGGGGAAGCGAAUCUCCCAAACCCAGUCUCAGUUCGGAUUGGAGGCUGCAACUCGCCUCCAUGAAGCUGGAAUCGCUAGUAACCGUGGAUCAGCCACGCCGCGGUGAAUACGUUCUCGGGCUUUGUACACACCGCCCGU
rnacentral:rRNA from 1 species